rnacentral:rRNA from 1 species
UGAGCAAUCUGCCCUUCUCAUCGGAAUAAGCGUUGGAAACGACGUCUAAUGCCGAAUACGACCUCCUUUCGCAUGAUCGGAGGUGGAAAGCUCCGGCGGAGAAGGAUGAGCUCGCGGCCUAUCAGCUAGUUGGUGUGGGUAAUGGCCCACCAAGGCGACGACGGGUAGCCGGCCUGAGGAGGGUGACCCGGCCACACGUGGGACUGAGACGCGGCCCAGACCUCCGUACGGGAGCA